rnacentral:rRNA from 1 species
UGGGGAAUUUUGCGCAAUGGGCGAAAGCCUGACGCAGCGACGCCGCGUGUGCGAUGAAGGCCUUUGGGUCGUAAAGCACUGUCGAGCGGGACGAAAGCCUGUCGGUUAAUAACCGGCAGGGUUGACGGUACCGCUAAAGGAAGCACCGGCUAACUCUGUGCCAGCAGCCGCGGUAAGACAGAGGGUGCAAACGUUGCUCGGAAUUAUUGGGCGUAAAGCGCGUGUAGGCGGCCCACCAAGUCAGCUGUGAAAGCCCUCGGCUCAACCGAGGAAGUGCAGUUGAUACUGGUGGGCUUGAGUCCUGAAGAGGAUGGCGGAAUGCUCAGUGUAGAGGUGAAAUUCGUAGAUAUUGGGCAGAACACCGGUGGCGAAGGCGGCCAUCUGGGAAGGUACUGACGCUGAGACGCGAAGGCGUGGGGAUCAAACAGG